CUUUCUCCUUCAAAAUGAAGUAACAAAUGUAUGUGUCUUUAUUUAUAUGAUCAAUUACUUCGAAUCAACCAUCACCUCGUCCACAUCUUUUAACCCACAAAUCACAUUUAGCACAUUUUGGACUAAUUUUUAUAUUUCUUUUUUGUUGAUUUGAUAAGUUUUCGACGAUAUUCGAAACAAGGUUUCGGGAAACUAAUAAAAUAAUAUAAAUACUCUAAGAAUGAUUUACUACGAGUAUCACUCCGACAGAAUCCAUAACAACAACGUUUCUUCGCUCCUUUUCUUGCUGAUAACACCAUGUACAUUGAUUUUCUGCUUCACAGCAUUAUUUACAUAUUUAAUAAUUAUUAAUAAUUGAAUAUUUUUGCUUAUACACGUAUAAAGUGCCCGAAAAACAUGGCGGAACUUGAAGCAUGCACACACAAAAUUUUUAACUACUAACAGGUCUAUUGUGUUACGAACAUCUGAUAAUUAAGUAAGGAGAAGAAAAAAAAUUUAGAAAUGUCACUUGAUACUGGUUUUAAUAUUUUAAAAGCUAGAAUAUUAAAAAAACGAAGGCGAUUAAAAGAAAGUAAUGUUUGAGUGAGUAUUAUUUUCGUAUAUUAUUUCUCCAUUUUUAAAUGUCGUCUUCUUUUCAUCUAUAAUUAUUUAUUUCUAUUUAGAAAUAAGAUAAGAAAUACUUUAGAAAAGGAAAAUUGGAGCUUUUGUACAAAACAAAAAAUAAUGAGACUAAUGAUAAUAAUGUCAAUAUUGUUACAUUCGAUGUGGGUAAACAAUAACAGGAAUCUGUUAUUAUUAUAUAAGAAAUUAGAAAAAGAAGCAUUUAGAAGAUUAAAAAAAUAUAAGAUUUAUGAACUAAAAGCUUUAGGAAUGAUUUCUAAAAAGCUAUAACCACAAGACCAAAAUGUUAAAGGAAAUGUCAAUGUACCCAAAGAAGGUAUCACUUACAAAUAUAUAUAAAAAAUGUCUAAAAAAUGUUUAAAAAAUUAAUCAAACUAUGACAGAAACUUUAAUAUAAAUAUUAGUUUCCAAUUUUUCCAAUUCUUAGUAUAAGUAUGGGGUAAUUAAUUAAAUAGUAGAACACCUGCAGAAAAAAUGAAUAUGCAAAAUGGCUAGUGUUACUUAUACUCAAACAAGGGAAUAUUUAAAACCAUUUCUAAGGAAGUUACAAAAUAAAUCACUUCCUGAAGGCAUAAUUGAUAGUUAAACUGAAAUUGUAUAACAUUUAUUUGAACACUAGUGAUGUAUAUUUACAAAUGAAGAUAGAAAAUUCUACUUGGCCUAUUGGUAUAACUAUGAUUGAUAUUCAUACUGGUAAAGAAAAAGUUUUUCAAAAAUGUAGCACAUAUAAUGAACAAUAAAAAACAAAGAAAAUAUAUUCAAGGUAUAAAAAGAUUAAUGUAUCUUAUUAGCGAGGAUAGUAUCGUAUGCGGACGAGAUAAUGGGGGAUCACCAAAGCGGUUUUAGGAGAAAUAGAUCGAUUACAGAUCAGAUCUUUAUUAUUCGGCAUAUCUUGAAAAAAAAAUGAGAAUUUAAUCUUGUUGCUGUAAAGGCGCUUAAAAAAAAAACUCAGGAUAUACAGGACAAUCUUCCUACUGGUAGUCCUUUAUGGUAGCGAAACGUGGUCACUUACGUUGCGGGACAAAAAGGAAUUUCGGGUUUUCGAAAUUAAGUUCUUCGUAAAAUCUUCAAUGCAAAACGCAAUGAGGAAAACGAAUGGAGAAAACUCCAUUACGUAGAAGACACCGAUUGUAAAACCGGACAUUAUUAACGUUAUAAAAUCACGCCGAUUAAGAUGGGCUGAUCAUGUGGCGUGCAUAGGGGAAGUUCGAACGGCGCAUAAAAUACUGGUCGGUAUACCAAACGGGAAAAGACCACUAGGUAGACCGAGACAUAGAUGGGAGGACAUUAGAAGGAAUCUUAAAGAAAUAGGCUACGAAGACCGCGAAUGAGGGGGUCGCGCUCAGGGACAGGAACACUGGAUUUGAUAUUUGCAGCAAUGAACUUUCGAGUUCCUAAUGCCAAUUAAUAAUAAUAAUAAUAAUAAUAAUAAUA
rnacentral:lncRNA from 1 species